rnacentral:sRNA from 2 species
CAUGCCGGUGUUGUUACUCUUACUGGUGCCGGUGGAUAUAUCAGUGGGCAUCAGCUUGCUGCCACUACUCGCCAUCGAAGUAUUAUUUUCAUGAGAGCCAGAAGCAGACAAUAGCGAUGACGAUGUUGCUUGCUGUUUCAGCUGUGACUGAUUCCCAACUUGUUGCUGAGCCGGUAGCGGCGAUGGUUUCUGCCUGACGGUUUCGCGCUUCCAAUUUGCCCUGCCAGCUGUAGUGUUGAGAGUCUUGCUCCAGAUAAUCUUCACUCCUCCCGCAGCCGCAGCGAGUUUCUGAAUCUGCCCGCCAGUCGUGGCAUCAUCGAGCGUUUUGAAGAACUCUUCCGCCAUUUUUACUUUCUUCUCGUCGAACUCUUUCUUUUUAGCUGCAAGGGCCUUUUUCGCAGCUGCAGCUGCGGCGGCUGAAGCCUUUUUCGAAGGGGAACUUUUAAUUGGGCUUUUCGACGGCGAUGACUGUGGUGAGAUGGAAUUUCUAUGUGAUCUCCCUGGGACGUCAUUAAUAUCAUCAUCUUCGUCAUCUGAGUAUAUGCGGAAUCUCUCAAGGCCUCUGCGCGGGGUGUUCAUUUUCCUGGGGGAGUACUGGUCGUUCCAUUCGUUGAUUAUCUCCUGGCUCCAGAAAGCGUCUAUGCUUGGUCGAUGCGGGGUAGGUGGGAUGCGAGACUUGCUUUUGGAGGGAGAGUAUAGACGAGGUUUUGAAGGGCUGGAUGGCGGAGUGACGAUGCUCACUGUCUGUUCUGGCCCUCCUGACCUGGAAAGGGAUGAAGGUUGAGAAUCAGGCUGAGGGCUACAUAUAAAGAAUUCUCUUCAAUUGCUUGCCGUCAAAAGAAGGAGCAAGGAUGAGAAAAGAAAGCAGCAACUUACCCUUCCAUCUUGUCUUCAGAAGCUUUGUGGUUGACGACCCUAUUUCUCUUCGGUGAGCUUCCCCGUUUCGAAGCAGGCAUCGAUGAAAGAGGUUUCAGAUCGAAUUUCUUCGGCAACGAUGGAAUCAUCUCCUUCUCAUUAUCAGUAUCGUCAUCGCCAUCAUCGCCAUCAUCAUCACUACUGCCGUCAAACAAAGAGCGUUGAGUUGUCCUGUUGGGUCCCGACUUCAAAUUAUUCACUGCCAGGCCUGAAUUCACAUCACCACCACCACUAGUAGUAGCCUUUGUGUUAUUUCCCCCCCACAAGACCUUCGGUGUUGCUAUUGCUGUUGCUCUGGUUGUUGGCCUUAAGCCCCUGAACAGUUUCCUGGGCGAUGAACGGGGUUUAAGGAGUACUUCAUCCUUCUCUCCACUGCUUCCGCUCAGACAAGACUCAUCGAAAUAGCUAAUAUCCUCAUCAUCCCCGACGAUGAAAUCAUCCAACG